UUAGGUCAUGGUCCAUUUUCUCAUGUAUUUGAUGGCCUGGUUAUUCCUGAAGUCAAAAAAAUAAAACAAUCUAAAGGCUUGCCUGAUGACACCCCUGAAAAGUGGAAACAUGAGCAGAUGUCAGUUCAGAUGUUCGAUGACAUUGUGAAGCGUCUGAAGGCUGAGAAUGAAGA